rnacentral:misc_RNA from 1 species
GGGACCACGCCAUCCUUUUGAUUGCCGUGAGGUGCCACGGACACGCACACGCAUACACAUACGCACACACGAAAGAAUGCGGAGAGGCGGUGGAGAGAGAAGCGGGGCGGAACGCUUGCUUUCCUCUGCAUCCACUCCCACGACGGUGGAACGCUCAGUGUCGCCCUUCACCUCCCUAGACACCUCCUUCGCCCAAUCACUCAACGGCUACGGUGACUACGACGACGAAGACUCGACCGCCUUCGCAUCACCAGGGUCGUUUUCUCCACACGCGUACCACUCGCACACGAAAUCGCUGACGCCGACUCCUCCGCCGUCAGCGGUGGCUUCUCCUAUGCUUAUUCUAGGAGACGCAUCUGAUUCCGCUGCGCUCGACCGCGAGGUACAGCCGGAAGAGCAGCACAUCGAAGAGUUCGUGCCACUCCCCGCGAAGUCGUCCCAAGUGCUUCCGGCGCUGUCGUUUCACAGCUCAUUUUUCUCGUACACAACAGAUUCAUCAAUUUCAGCCGAGCCUCUGCUCACGUCCAAGUCUCCAGCGCUCGUCACGUAUCCUUCCAGCACUGCAUCACCAGGCGGAAGAGCGCCGUUGCAACGGACAGGGUCAUCGUCGCCACAGAGUCAGCCCUCGGCACCUGCUUCCUUGAGCGCAGUACACGAGGCAGGGCAGAGUCCCGACGUGAAGGAAGAGAAAACGUUCCCUUUUUCUUCGUCCCUAUCGUCUUCCGCAGUGCUGGCGGAGAUACAGACCACGAUCUCUCAGCUGACCACGUCCUCCUUUCCCAUGCCGCCGCCCCUUGUCGCGGCGAGUGCGAUGACGACGCAGGUGCUGCCUUGUUGCACAGACGACGAGGGGCAGCAUUGCAGCCGCGCUUCAUCGCCCGCCAUGGCAUCCUCGCCGCUGUCACCGUGGGCUCCGCGAACAGCAGAUAGGCCGCAAGCUGAGGAACGCGAGCUGAGGCGCAGCGGGUCAUCGGCGAAAGACCCAGGUGCUGCCGAUACCGUGUUGACACUGCCGUUGACAGCGCUGGACGAAUUGCCGCCACCAACCCCGCUGUCGUCCUCGUCGUUCUUCUCCGCCUCCCCAUCGGUUGCGUCGCCGCUGUCGGCCGUGGCCGCCUCACUCAAUGAGACGCCCGUCCGUGCAUCUCUGUCCCAUCUGGCCACAAGCCUUCUUUAUGCGGACGGUGCAGAUCCCCUGGCGGACGAGCGGCACACACAGAGCCGCAUCAACACCGCGGCGCUGCCGUGGGUGCCGAUGCUGCUGCCGACCAUGCCAGGCCCGAAGCGCAGACAGCAGCGGGGGACAAAUACGCUCCCCCCACAUGCGGAGGGCCACGGCGAUGCACAAUGCGUCGCUCAAGCCGAUGAUAAGCCAGCGGCGAAGCGGAGGCGGACGAGGAAGGGAACCAAGGAGGAGGCGUCGACGACUGGCGAGGUGGUCUUGAUCGCGGAGAGGGGCAUGCCGGCUCCAGCGCCACUUCCGCAACCACCUUCAGCGAGGCGGAGGCGGACAUCCAAGACAGCAACGAAGGACGCUCAUCAGAGCGCGGCUCCGACAAGGGUAAGCAAGGAUGCCAGACUUGCACCAAUGCCGAGGGCAGAAGCACCACUUGACCAGAAAGAGAACUGUGACGGUGCACAAGGCCUUAAAGAGUCUUCGAAGGACCACUCGUCUGCAUCCCGCACCGAACCGGGGCACAUCUCUCUACCACCAAACUCCGCGAAGCCGUCCACGGCACUCCAUCCACAAGAGCUGAUGGUCCUGGCUGGUGACGUGCCCCUAUCCCACCUAUUCGCGACCAGCAGUGACUUGAACGCGGACUCCAAGUCCACGGCGCCUGCCGCUUGCCAACCCCCAGCUGCUCCAUCAGUGCCGUCGCAGUCCCAAAGGGAGAGGUGGAGGAGGACGCGUUUCCGGAAGGCCGGAGUUCCACACACUGCGGCGGCAGCUGUGGAAGAUGGCGCCGCACCAUCGGCGGGGCGGGUUGCUGCGGAAGCGUCCCGAGAGGAGGCGGAGCCAGCCCCCGCAGCCGCAACCUCAUUACCACUGUGUCUGUCAUCACCGCGAGCGCCCCAACUGCCUGCACGCUCGGAAAAGCUCGACGGCAGCGGUGCGAAGGCCGAGUUGCCAGCUAGCGGUGAUACCUCGGCAGCACGGAGUCUUGGCGCGGCAAGAAGAGGAAAAACAUCGACAUUCUCACUGACGCUUCCAGCCCGGAAACGGAGAACAUUGCAGACGACACCCGCUGUCACUACUGAAACCCCGUCAUCCACAGGGGGCGGCGACACCAGCGGCUCCGAUGGCGCCGUCACGCAUGUUGCAUCCACCUCGAAGCGUGCCGCCGAUGUACAGCCAUCGCUUCUGCAGGCAUGGUGGUCUGCAGUGUGCACCUCUGCAUCAUCCUCGGAGUCGGGCCGAUCCUGCUUGUGGGUUGAACUGUCGGAGGGAUAUCAAGAGGCCCACGGGACACUGCUGCGUCAGGUCCUCGUUUACUGGGGAUGGCUUCAUAGCGAGAGCUCCGUCACCCACCGCGGAGGUCUGGAGCUGCCGACUGGUGCCUCGACUCUGUCAAGUUCCACACCAAAGUGCACGAGCCGCAAGCGCGCGCGUGACAGGAAGCACAGCGAGACCAGCGCUGCCGGUGCAAGCGCGCAGCUUGAACGCACGGACAGGAGAGCCAAUAAUGGUUUGGUGGUGCUGCUUUGCCCAUCGCCACUGCCCAUGGAGGAGGCGCUGCGGUGGUGGACGCAGCGCGCGCAUGUGGAGCACAGCUUUAUGCCACCGCUACUGGCCGUCUCCAUGUCAGCGGACCCUCAAUCGAGUGUCCUAGGGAGUUCUGAUCGAGUGCCUAGCGCUUCCCGGGUGGCGCCGACGCCGGAGGAGGAGUAUGAGCUGCUCAGGGGCGCGAUUCAGCUGGCAUCAAGCGUGUACUGCACUGACGCGGCUCGCAGUCUCGCGGUGUCGUGCACCGCCGCCGGGCACGCUGCACUAGCACAACUCUUGUCGCUGAAUCAGGUAUUCGAUAGUUUGCAGGUCUGCGCCGACGCGCUCAGGUCUGCCGCGGGCUUACCUUCCACUUCCUCACUUGUGCAGACGCCCCUGGAAGAAGAUGCUGACGUGGGCAGUCUGACCGCGGUCUUGGCUGUUACCGCGCUUGUGCAAGGCACGGACAGUGGCAGUGGCAGCGCAAAGGAGGGGCGGCGUGCUGCUUCGCUGCAGGAGCGGUACUUUGCAGAGCUAUGCCGGUGGAACGGCUUGGCUGCCGCACUGCAGCGACAGCCGCGGCGACCGCAGCUCGUUCUCCGCCGCGUUCGUGUGGACCCGCUGCACCGAAACGGUGGCGCAUCGAAGAGAAAAAAAACGCCGGUCGGUCCUACUGUACCGCCUUCGGCUUUGAUGGACGCCAGCGAGGGGGUGCUGUACGCUCCGAGUGUCGCCGGCUCCUCGCUGCUGCCAGAAGAACGGCGUCAGUGGGUCACGUAUGGGAUGGUUCUGCCCGCCACGCGCAACGAGGACACGUUUGCAAGCAGUGCGCGUCGUGAGGACCGUGUACUGGCGUCGCAGCCACCGCCGGUGGCGCUCGCGCCGGCGCACCUAUCCGCUCUUCACCUCUUCGGCCGAGUGCUGUUCACUCCCGGCAACUACGCGACAGCGGUGAACGUUGUGGAAUCUUACGCACGUGUAUCGCAGCAGUGCUUGACGGACUACAUCUCCGACUACAGCUGCGUCAUGACAGGCCCGCUGCGCUAUUCUGUGUCGGCAACGAUUCGACGCUAUUUGCAGGUGCGCGUGGUAGUGGAGCUGGCGCCGUUGCUAGCGUUGGUGAGCAACGGGGCCGCUGCGCAGCCGCUAGCCUCGACGAGGCUCUCGGCUGCUGGCGCUUGCAUUUCACCUCCGAGCACAUCGACUUUGUUAGCUCCUGUGGCGCUUUUCGCCCGCUCGAAAUGGCGCACUGUCGUGCUGAGCUUGUCCUGCACGUGCAAACCCCGCUUAUAUGAACAGGUGCCUCGCACGGACGAUGGCGUGAAGGUGUGCCGCCACGUCGCGGAGCUCUUUCACUACUUCACCACCCAGCAGUUUUCUGUAGUAGGCCAUCAGGCGGUGCAGCGAGAGCAGCCACUGCCGCAGCACCAGGUUCAGAGAGCACUAGCUCGAGUCGACCCGAUGCUUUAUUCACGGAGUCUCCCACCCCUAUCACCGCGUACUACGUCAUCAGAGAAGCGGCAGCUGUCACAUCGCAGCCGCACGAGCACGAGCACCAGCAGCUCCAACUCGAGCACCAACGCCAUUUUGAGCAGCUUGCCCUUGCCGGCGCUCUACACGCGCUUCUUCGACCUCUGUGCCGCUUCAGAGGGGACUGCCCGUAAGCAAGAGAAGAAUGAAGUCUCUGGAUCGGAUAGCACAGACUCCGCAUCCCCGGCACGGCCUCCAGCGCGGUGCCGUUCGCUGCAACGCAGCGCGACCGCCGCACUGUCGCCUGCGACACCGAGUAAGGCACCACGGACAAGGCCUUCGAAGAAGGCACAGCGCUCCUCCACAGCGGCAGCGGCCAAUGCUUCGGUGACCUCCUCGGUGGCCGCCUCAGCAGCGGGCACAGACUUCCACACUCAAGCGCUCCAGUACGCGCUGCGGCUUCUGCAAGAGCGUCUGCGCGACGGCAGCGGAGAGAGGACUGCGGAUGGCGGCGCGGCAUCCCUUGCAGCAGCAGCAGCCACGGGAGACGGUGGGUUGCUGUUCCGCCCCAGCGGUCCGUCACCACCCGCGCUCGCACGGAAGCGCACCCGCUCAGAGGACGUUAGUCCAGGAGAGACAGAGCAUGCGCGGGCACUACGACUGGUGGAACAGCUGCUGCGCGAUCAGCUACGCUGACGGCGCCGCAAGGGCACGCAUCUGCGUGCGCUCGCGCUUUGCACGCAGAUGGAGGGCUUGGCAGGCGGUCUUGCAGAGGGGGUGGGCGGGUGGGGUGAGACGAGCAGAGUCUUGCACGGGAGCAUGCACAGCCUGCAUCAGUGCAGCUGAUCUUCUUGCCUUGCUCACAUACAGACGCACAAGCGCUUUUACUGUGCACAAGCACACGAGCAACGCUCAUGUGCCGCGCGCGCAGGUCGACCCAUCGCCAGGAGAUGGGCGCCGUGCGUGGCGACUUCAGCAACUAGGAUCCAGAAGCACCAUGCACCACUUGGAGUCAGGAUGGGCACCCUUGUUCUUCCCUUGCGUGCCCGACACUGACGGGUGCCAGCCUGGCUUUGCACCACACUCACAAGCAGUCAGAUGCGAGCGUUUGUUUCACUUUGACAAGGCCGUGUGACGCGUGCCACAUGUCUUCUGUACUGCUCUCCAACUCAUCUGCUCUUCUCGCACCCGCAUACGGACCUGUCUGCGUCUUGCUUGGAUUGUCGUGUGCGUGUGGAUGCGCAUUCGUGUGCGGGGAGGACGCUGGCACACACAG